AUUGAACGCUGGCGGCAUGCCUUACACAUGCAAGUCGAACGGCAGCACGGACUUCGGUCUGGUGGCGAGUGGCGAACGGGUGAGUAAUGUAUCGGAACGUACCUUUCAGUGGGGGAUAACGUAGCGAAAGUUACGCUAAUACCGCAUAUUCUGUGAGCAGGAAAGCAGGGGAUCGAAAGACCUUGCGCUGAUUGAGCGGCCGAUGUCAGAUUAGCUAGUUGGUGGGGUAAAGGCCUACCAAGGCGACGAUCUGUAGCGGGUCUGAGAGGAUGAUCCGCCACACUGGAACUGAGACACGGUCCAGACUCCUACGGGAGGCAGCAGUGGGGAAUUUUGGACAAUGGGGGCAACCCUGAUCCAGCCAUGCCGCGUGAGUGAAGAAGGCCUUCGGGUUGUAAAGCUCUUUCGGCCGGGAAGAAAUCGCGUAGGCUAAUACCCUGUGUGGAUGACGGUACCGGAAUAAGAAGCACCGGCUAACUACGUG
rnacentral:rRNA from 1 species